rnacentral:rRNA from 1 species
AUGCAAUCAUUAUUCCAUAUAUGGUUUCUUGAGACGGGUAUGGGUUCUGUACUAGGACUUUGCACGGCAGUGGUAUCAUCGGUGUUAGAUAUUCUUCUCGAGUGGCUGGAGAAUAUCCAUGGAACUAGGACAGAAAUUUCCCUUCACACAUGCUUAUUUCCCAAGCCAAUAAAGGGAUUUACGUGCCAUACUAACUGGACCCAUAUCAUGCAGAAGAUUUUUGGAUCUUGUUUCUUACAUAGAAGGAAACAACCAUCAAAGGAACUGGUCAGGUUCAAUUACAGUUCUGCUUGGUUGACGAUUAUGAACUUCCCUAUCUGGUUCAGUGUUGCUGCUGCUUUACUAUUUCACCAGGAAGGCUCACAAGGUUAUUUAUCAGAAGUAUUAUCUGAAGAGAAAACUGCUGACUCAAUAAGCGCUAUCAGUCUUGCUCAGAGGGCAGCAUUUUACUUUUCGUGGGUGUUAUGCCCUUUUAAUGUUGAUGAAUGCCAGAUGCUAGCUAACAAUAUGGUGGCGUUAUCACAUUCUUGGGCCAGGAACAACAAAAAGCGCCCAAGUAAUGCACACCAUAGCAGUACAGUAAAUCACCGGAGGAGACCGCGCGUACCCACAGUUGGGGAUGCAGAGAAACUUCAUCCUUCAACCAACCCUGUCAGUUCCCGUAUUAGAGAUUUUGAUGAUCGCUGUGUGAAGUUUUGUCGCAUAACUGCUGUCAGUCAAGUGCAAGGUGCAGAACAAUUAGACGUCCCUCUCUCAUGCCCUAAUUUUCUGCAUUUACGGGUUCCUCUAGGGGUGUUACUUGUAUCCUCUGCUUGCGUUAGUGAGCAAGAUUGUAACGUGCUUCUGCACUACACAAGCACUGGUCUGGUUCUGGAGUCAACGGAAGUGCAGACAAAAAGGAAAGAUCAGGCUGGUAAUGAUGGUUUUUCAUGUAGUCAUGGAGGUUUUACUGAAAGAUGGGCUUUAAGUGGUGCAUGUCUCAUUGGCUUGACAUUAUUGAAGAUAUGUCGGCAACGAUCUUUGAAUGUGUAG